CCAUUAGAUGAAGAGGAUCUUGUUGCAUAUAUUAUAAAUGGUCUUGACAGUGAGUUUGAUCCCGUUGUUGAGUCAAUGAUGACUCUUGCACGCAUUGCACCGGUUACUGUUUCCCAUCUGUACUCACAGUUGUUAGGUUUUGAGA
rnacentral:snoRNA from 1 species